GCGAAAAGACCCUUGUGUAGAAAAACAAUAUUGAGAAGUAAUUAAGAGAUAAAACAUAGUUAAGGUUAUAAAAGGAAAUUGAUGAUCAAAGGUAGUUGGUGGACUCAGAGGAGAAAAGAAGAAUUCAAGACCAAAAUCAUACGCCUAACGAUUUCUAACCUAAGAUAUUAUAUAAGGGGGAACAAGGGUUAAAUUCCUGAGCUCCGUCAUCAGACAGGGAUGCCUGGUGAUGGAGUGCGCGGAUGAAGCAACCAAAGUUUGGCUGAUGAAAGUCUCCCUGCUACUGGAAGAGCCCAAGAUCAUGGCAGUGGAGGGCGACAUAUCGCCCAAACCGACUGUCGUAACCAUGUGGGUGCCGGCCAGAGAGGUGGUAAACCCACGAUCUAUUCUGAGCCGCAUUGCUCACCAAAAUAAUCUGGAUAUCAUCAAGAGAGGACGUCUAUUUGUCUUGGCGAUUGACAAUAACUCCCUUGAACAACUAAGGAACGCAAACAUAUUUGUGUUCCACGCCUUGGACUGCUACGAGAUCAAGCUGCGGGGUGGAGGAGGAAGGUCCG